rnacentral:rRNA from 1 species
UACAGAGGGUGCAAGCGUUAAUCGGAAUUACUGGGCGUAAAGCGUGCGUAGCCGGUUAUGUAAGUCAGAUGUGAAAGCCCAGGGCUCAACCUUGGAAUUGCAUUUGAGACUGCAUAGCUAGGGUGCGGAAGAGGGAAGCGGAAUUUCCGGUGUAGCGGUGAAAUGCGUAGAUAUCGGAAGGAACACCAGUGGCGAAAGCGGCUUCCUGGUCCAGCACCGACGUUCAGGCACGAAAGCGUGGGGAGCAAACAGG